UACGUAGGCAGCGAGCGUUGUUCGGAAUUACUGGGCGUAAAGAGUGUGUAGGCGGUGCUCUAAGUUCGGUGUGAAAUCUCCUGCUUAACUGGGAGGGUGCGCCGGAAACUGGAGUGCUUGAGCGUGGGAGAGGAAAGCGGAAUUCCUGGUGUAGCGGUGAAAUGCGUAGAUAUCAGGAGGAACACCUGUGGUGUAGACGGCGACCUGGUCCUUGACUGACGCUGAGGCGCGAAAGCAUGGGGAGCGAACAGG
rnacentral:rRNA from 1 species